UCUUCGCUAUAAAUUUCCUUCGAGAAUUGUUCUUCUAACAAUGAGUGCUUCUCACAAAUAAUAAUUUGUUGUUUUUGUAGUCAUCUUUGUACAAGUUUUAGAAAUAUAGUGGCUCUUUGAUCCACCCAACUAUCUAAAAAUCACCAACAACCCUUUUCUUUUCACUCCUAACAUCACCAUCUCAAUUGAAAACCUUAUCAUAUACUACCAAAUACAUAGUGACUAAAAACCAAGAAGAAAAAAAACAUGCAUUUUAUCAAGAAAUUAAGAAACUCACCAUGUGCAUGAACCUCACGGUGAAGUGUGGAGUUGCCUUUGGGCAUGGGUGGAAUUGGAAAAUAGGAUGCAUGCAAAUACUUUCUAAUUGAGAGUGGUUUCGCGUUGCAUUUCUAAUCAAUGUUGCAAUGAUUUUUGUGACUGGUACUGUUUACAAAGCUGAUGAUAUUUCUGAAGAGAAUGCUGAUCGUUGCAAUGAUAUUACUCUUAACUCUGCUUCUUUCCUUCUCCAGUUUUGAUGUCCAUUAGAAUGUGUUGGGACGUUCAAGCUCAGCUAUUUAUGCCAUAGCAUUGCUAGCCUCAGGACAAAGUUCUGCCAUCACUGGAACCUAUGCAGAGACCGAUUUGUUACAACAUCAAAACGAAUCAAACAGGUGAUCACCUGCAUACGCAUGGACAAUCUUGUUCCAUAAGAUGCAACUAUAAAGUUAGUGUGAUAUUCAACACCAGAAAACCAAGUGUGGCCAUGACAGCACCAAAAACGAAUAUGUUUACUGAUACACCCUCAACUUUCCUAUUCAAUACUUUUAAAUAUUUUCUGACCUAAUUUUAAUAUGAGAGAAUUAUAGUGUGAUUCUUUAUGCAUGUUUUUUAUUACGAUGGAUUUUCUGAAAUCACAAUGAUUCAACAAUUUAAAAUUCAAAUCACUAAUUGAUAUUCAAAAUUUUGAAAUAUUAAUCUGGCCAUCCUAGCCUAAAAUUCAUUCCAGAUUGUAUUGAAUAAUCUUUAUUUAUUAAUUUUGUUACAUCUACAAUAAUUUAACCUAAUU